rnacentral:tRNA from 1 species
GCCCAGGUGGUGAAAUGGUAGACACGCACGCUUCAGAAGCGUGUUCCGCAAGGCGUGGAGGUUCGAGUCCUCUCCUGGGCACCA